UACAGAGGGUGCGAGCGUUGUCCGGAAUCACUGGGCGUAAAGGGCGCGUAGGCGGUUUUGUAAGUCGGGGGUGAAAUGCUGCGGCUCAACCGCAGCGCUGCCUCCGAGACUGCAAGACUGGAGCACGGUAGAGGCGGAUGGAAUUCCCGGUGUAGCGGUGGAAUGCGUAGAGAUCGGGAAGAACACCAAUGGCGAAGGCAGUCCGCUGGGCCGUUGCUGACGCUGAGGCGCGACAGCGUGGGGAGCAAACAGGAUUAGAUACCCUGGUAGUCCACGCCGUAAACGAUGGGCACUAGGCGUCGGGGGGAGCGACCCUCCCGGUGCCGUCGCUAACGCAGUAAGUGCCCCGCCUGGGGAGUACGGCCGCAAGGUUGAA
rnacentral:rRNA from 1 species